ensembl:lncRNA
CAAAAGGCAAAUGUUGUUUAGUUUGACACAUCUCAUUACUCUGAGGAAUAUGCAGGAUAAGACAAACUUUGUUAGCCUGUCAUGAAGUGCUAACAGUUACUGGAAAUCAAUAAAGGGACCCGCUUGCCUUGGAAAGAAACACUUAGCACAGACGUCCAGUUUCCCUGCUAAGUUUCAAAGGCAGGAUGCAGAAAGACGGAAGCCAAGACCUCGGUGCAGAAGACGCAGAGCCUUCCCCAGACCAGGAUGGUUAGAGUUGAAAGAACAUCUUGCCCUGACAGCAGCUGACAAAAUCAAACCCUUUUUCAAUGUUUUUUUGAUGUGAAUCACAAGAGGUUUGACUACCGGGAUUUGCAUCCAAGCAGGAACCCUACAGAUUUUUUCAAAUCCUGGUGACAAAGGUACGACAUUUAUGAUUUGUGACUGUUAUCCCACAUGUGUGAAUUGCCAAAACAAAGCUUUCAAAAACAGCAACUUUUGUUUGUGACUGAUGCAUUUUGUAAACAAUAAAGUGCCAACAUUGACACAAUGUGGUCUGCUCCAUCUCCAGGUACUGGCACUGCCUUGAGCUGACUGCUGCAGUGGCGUUAAUGAUGCUCUUUCAGUAACUGAGUGCUGAUACACCAUGGCUUUGGCUCAGACAACAGGACAGAAGUGAGACUGGUGAGGCCACAGAGAGGAGCUGGUGAGGACCUCCCACUGCUGCCUAUGGGACUUAGGACCCUGGGCCUUGUGUAAAGAGCAGUGAUGGAUGCCAAGGACCCAGCCAGAAGUGGGCAGGGGCAGGAGCAUCUCUGGUUCCUUUCCUCAAACAUGUCCUGAGCUGCCUGUGGAAUAUGCUGUGACACCCAUGACAGUGCAUGACCACGCAGGAGGUCCCUCCCUGCCUCUGCUGUCCCUGAUGCUGGAGGAGGACAAGCUGUGCUGGUCAGUGCGUGCUGUUGGGCAGGUGGCUAUGGCUGUGCCAGGGAGGAUGUCUUGCUCCUUUGGGGAUACACAUGGUGGGCAAGUGUGUUUAAAAAUCCCAGUGAAGGUCUACAGAAGUGCAUCACUCUCUCGACUCAGCGAGUCUUGUUUUCUUAAACUGCCCACUGAAGUGCCAGCUACCGGGGCUGUUAGAAAUGCCUUCUCCUUUCUAGGAACACAGAAAUAAGUGUGUCCAUUAUGAUAUGUGUAUGUGAGAAUACACCCACUCCUGUGAGACCCUCUACAGUUCUAAAUUGCAGAUAAGGUGAGCAGCACAAGGGCAUGAAGCAGCUGCAAGAGUGUGUCUGUGUACAGGCACUGCUGCACCCUGCUGAGGGCCCCCACUGCUUCCUAGAGCUGAGCAGUACUGUCACUUGGUGCACUUGUGCUUAGGAAGGCAUGAUUAGAAAGCUAGCCUUCAAAGAGAAAAGCAAGCUUCUGUAAUGUGAUUGUCAUCAUGGAGAUGAUCUGUUUCUUGUGACAUAUUCCAAUCUAGUGCUUGAUCUAGCAGUCAGCAACCCUGCCCGCAAGCAGAGGGAUUGGAACUAGAUGAUCUUUGAGGCCCUUUCCAACCCAACCCGUUAUAUGAUUCUAUGAUUUUUAAUCUGUAUUUCUGCACAGAGGAGGCUGAAAACAUUGACAAAAAAAAAAAAACAAAAGAACACCCAUUCUGAUCAAAGCUAGAUGCAUGAACAAGAAAUGUGUUGAAUCAAGACUAUUGCUACCAUGAAAAUUGGGCAGUAUGGCUUAGCCAGGCCACUAGCAUGCUGAGGCUGAAUGGAAAGAUGCUGGAAACUCCCAGAGAAAGAGCCCUGCUUAUAAGCAAUAUGAUGGUAAAAUAUGUUUGCAUAAAUCUGGCAUUACUUAAUGGUGCAAAGAUUAAGUCUAUCCUGGUUGUUUGAAAUGAUAGGCACACUUUAUUUGUGUGUCACUCAGUUUCCCUUUGGUUUUUAAGGACAAUGAUGUGAUUGUGACAAAGCCAAGUGACUCCCAGGGCUCAUCCACAAUGCUGAUGAGAGCCUGCGGGGAACACCACGGAUGAGAAUGAAACAAUUACCAGCGUCUUUUAAAGAAAACAGUGAGAGAGAGGUGGGCAGGAAUUUGACGUGGGGAAGGAUGAGAAGCAGGAGUGUGGGGCAUCCAUGGAAAUGAGGAAAUCUUUUCUGCUGCUGUUGGGCUUGGGGGUA